AUUGAACGCUGGCGGCAGGCUUAACACAUGCAAGUCGAGCGGAGAUGAGGUGCUUGCACCUUAUCUUAGCGGCGGACGGGUGAGUAAUGCUUAGGAAUCUGCCUAUUAGUGGGGGACAACAUUCCGAAAGGAACGCUAAUACCGCAUACGUCCUACGGGAGAAAGUAGGGGAUCUUCGGACCUUGCGCUAAUAGAUGAGCCUAAGUCGGAUUAGCUAGUGGGUGGGGUAAAGGCCUACCAAGGCGACGAUCUGUAGCGGGGCUGAGAGGAUGAGCCGCCACACUGGGACUGAGACACGGCCCAGACUCCUACGGGAGGCAGCAGUGGGGAAUAUUGGACAAUGGGGGGAACCCUGAUCCAGCCAUGCCGCGUGCGUGAAGAAGGCCUUAUGGUUGUAAAGCACUUUAAGCGAGGAGGAGGCUACUGAGACUAAUACUCUUGGAUAGUGGACGUUACUCGCAGAAUAAGCACCGGCUAACUCUGUGCCAGCCGCCGCAGUAAGAC
rnacentral:rRNA from 1 species